rnacentral:lncRNA from 1 species
GGAGUCUCAUUAAAGAAGUCAGUUCUAACCUGAUAUGUUGGAGUUUUCAGCCAAUCCUCUUCAAAUCAUUUCAUAAAAUAGAAAAGAAGAUCUCUUCCAAACACAUUCUAUGAAGCUAGUAUUACCCUGAUACCAAAUCCAGACAAAGAUACAUCAAGGAAAGAAAACAUCAGACCAAUAUCCUUUAUGAACAUAGAUGCAAGAAUUCUCAAUAAAAUACUGGCAAUUGCAUACAAAAACACGUUGAAAAGAUAGUGCACCAUGAUCAAGUGGGUUUCAUUCCAGAUAUGUAAGCUUGGUUCAGGUACAAAAAUCAAUAAAUGUGUACCAUCUUCUUUUCAAAUUAGAUACAGGAAAACAGAACACAAGCAUAAGAUUAUUUUACUUUGUCUAGUCUCCCUAUCUCCAUACUCUAAUUGGAAUAAUGCUUUAUAACUUUCCAAGUUUAUAAGAAUUAAAUGAGAAGAUGAAUGAAAAAUUCAAGUGCAAUUUUGGCAUAUAUUGAGAAAAUAAUUCAUUUUUAAAGGAUUUCAAAUAAAUAGUUUUUUGUCCUC